rnacentral:tRNA from 1 species
GCGGGAUUAACUCAGGGGUAGAGUACGAGCUUCCCAAGCUCGGAACACGGGUUCGAAUCCCGUAUCCCGCU